UUAUGGCCAUAUCAUAUUGAAACACCAGUUCCCAAACAUUCAUCAAAGUUAAGCUAUGUUGAGCCUAGUCAGUACCUAGAUAGGUGACCACUUGGGAAUACCAGGUGCUAUA